rnacentral:rRNA from 1 species
GUUGAUCCUGCGGGAGGUUGCUGCUAUUAGGGUUCGACUAAGCCAUGCAAGUCUAAUCGUAAGAUUGGCAAACUGCUCAGUAACACGUCGAUAACCUGCCCUUAAGCGGGGGAUAACCUCGGGAAACUGAGGAUAAUACCCCAUAGAGUAUUGAUACUGGAACGUUCUUUACUCAAAAGCUUCGGCACUUAAGGAUGGGAUGGCGGCGGAUUAGAUUGUUGGUGGGGUAAUGGCCCACCAAGUCAGAGAUCCGUAGGAGCCUUGAGAGAGGUAGCUCCGAGAAGGGCACUGAGAUACUGGCCCUAGCCCUACGGGGUGCAGCAGGCGCGAAACCUUUACAAUGCACGCAAGUGUGAUAAGGGAACCCUAAGUGCUUAGCUUUUGCUAGGCUUUUUUUAAGAAAAAAUCUCUUGGAGAAUAAGUGGUGGGAAAGACUGGUGCCAGCCGCCGCGGUAACCCCAGCGCCACAAGUGGCAACCGCUAUUAUUGGGCCUAAAGCGUCCGUAGCCGGUUUGUUAAAUCUUCUGUGAAAUCGUUAGACUCAAUCUACCGACGGGCAGAAGACACUGGCAGACUUGAGACUGGAAGGAGCCGGAAGUAUUCCUGGGGAAGCGGUAAAAUGCUAUAAUCCUAGGAAGACUACCUGUGGCGAAGGCGUCCGGCUAGUACAGAUCUGACGGUGAGGGACGAAAGCGAGGGGAGCAAUCCGGAUUAGAUACCCGAGUAGUCCUCGCUGUAAACUCUGCGAGCAAGGUGUUGCCUAUUCUUCAUGAAUGGGCAGUGUCGAAGAGAAGUCGUUAAGCUCGCCGCCUGGGAAGUAUGGUCGCAAGGCUGAAACUUAAAGGAAUUGGCGGGGGAGCACUACAAGGGGUGCGGCGUGCGGUUUAAUCUAAUUCAACGCAGAAAAUCUCACCAGAAGCGACGCCAGGAUGAAAGACAGUCUGAAGGGCUUUCUUGACGAGCCGAGAGGUAGUGCAUGGCCGCCGUCAGCUCGUGCUGUGAAGUGUCCUGUUAAGUCAGGCAACGAGCGAGACCCACACUCACAAUUGCUAGCGGGAAAAUUUUUCGACCGAGCACUUUGUGAGGACUGCCUUGGAAACAAGGAGGAAGGUGUGGGCUACGGUAGGUCUGUAUGCUCCGAAUCUUCUGGGCUACACGCGCGCAACAAUGGUAUGGACAAUGGGAUACAACCCCGUAAGGGGAAGUCAAUCCUCGAAACCAUAUCUUAGUUCAGAUUGAGGCUUGCAACUCAGCCUCAUGACGAUGGAAUCCCUAGUAAUUGGAUCUCAUCAUGGUCCAGUGAAUACGUCCCUGCUCCUUGCACACACCGCCCGUCAAACCACCCGAGUAGGGGUUAGAUGAGGCUUAAUUUUUAAUUGAGUCGAAUCUAAUCUCAGCGAGGAGGGUUAAGUCGUCACAAGGUA